AAAAAAGAAGACCGGUGUGUACCAUAUUUUAUACACAACAUGGAGAACAGCUGUCCAAAAACGAUAACACCAAGUUAAAAUGUGAACAAAUAGCAUAUAAUGAACACUCAGAGUUCUCAUAAAUACCACAUUUGGUUCUGUGACACUGAGAAGAAGGCCCAGCCUAAAAUUUUAGGCCAUCAAUAAAUCUCCCUUCUACAAAUUCUUACAUUAAGGACAGACAGAAACGCACACGGGCCACUUGGUGAAGAAUGGCUUCAAUAGAAGACUUUAAAAGAGGUGGUCAAUUGGGCUUAUCAUACAAUCUCAGUCACCUUCUGACCAAUAGAAUGUACCAAUAAACAUCUGCAAAUAAAAUUCAUUAGGUCCUCCUGCAGCCUUCAGCAGCUCAUUUCAUGACGACUCCAUCCUUCCAGGUGCUCAGGCUGAACCCAGAGGCAACGCUGCCUGUCUCUUCCUCUCAAGUUCCACAGCCUAAUAUCCAAGAUGCCCAGCUCUACCUUCGAAUAAGCUCUUCCCUGAAUCCAACUCCACACCACCGCCACUCCCACCAUCCUCCUGGUCAAAGCCACUUUCACCUCUUGCCUGAACCACCAUGGAAUCUCCUGCCGGUCUCCCUGCUUCUGCCCAUGGCGCUCUUCAGUCUAUUCUCAAUACAGCAGCCAGAAUAAUCUUACUAAAUCCUGAGCAGACCAUGUCGUGUCUCUUCUCAAAACUCUCCAGCGGUCCCCACUUCACUCCAAGGAAAGCCAAAGACCUCCAAUGGCCAACAGAGCCCUCCAGACCUUCUCUCUUGCACUGGGUACUCCCCCAGAAUGUGCAGGACUUCUCUGUGAAGCUGUCCCUUGCCACCCUGGCUAAACCUGCCACCUCUCUUUCCCAUACACAUACUCCUGACCCCUUUCCCUGCCUCAUUUUUUCUUCUUAGCACCUAUAACCUACUAUGUUUUACCUAUUUAUCUUGUUUAUUAUUUGUUCUCUCACUAGAAUUUAAGUCAAGUGAAGGCAGGGACUGUUACCUAUCUCGUUCACUGUUAUAUACUGAAAAUUUGGACCAGGGACAGGCAAACAUUUUCUAUAAAGAACUAGAUCAUAAUUAUGGCUAGAAACAGAUAGAAUAGGAAUAAAGAAAUAGAUAUUUUAGGCUUUGCAGGUCAUACAGUCUCUGUUGCAACUACUUGACUCCACUGUUGUAGUCCACAGACAAUAUACAAAUGAAUGAGCAUAGGCUCAUUCCAAUAAAACUUUAUUUACAAAAACAGACAGUAGGCUGGAUGUGACCUACAGGUCACAGUUUGCCAACCCCUAGUCUGGAACAUUACCUAGAGUGUAGUAAGCACUCAAAAAUAUUUGUUAAAUUGUCAAAGUGUUAAAAUACUACCUCUGGCCAGAGCAAACCUAGAAUAGUAGGUCUAGUUCUAGAAG